UACAGAGGGUGCGAGCGUUGUCCGGAAUCACUGGGCGUAAAGGGCGCGUAGGUGGCGACCCAAGUCUGUGGUGAAAGCUCGCCGCUUAACGGCGAGUCGGCCACGGAUACUGGGUGGCUCGAGCACUGUAGGGGCCAGAUGGAAUUCCGGGGUGUAGCGGUGGGAAUGCGUAGAGAUCCGGAAGAACACCGGUGGCGAAGGCGACUACCUGGCCCUGUUCUUGACGCUGAGG
rnacentral:rRNA from 1 species